AUUGAACGCUGGCGGCAUGCCUUACACAUGCAAGUCGAACGGCAGCGGACCUUCGGGUGCCGGCGAGUGGCGAACGGGUGAGUAAUAUAUCGGAACGUACCUUUCAGUGGGGGAUAACGUAGCGAAAGUUACGCUAAUACCGCAUAUUCUGUGAGCAGGAAAGCAGGGGAUCGCAAGACCUUGCGCUGAUUGAGCGGCCGAUAUCAGAUUAGCUAGUUGGUGAGGUAAAGGCUCACCAAGGCGACGAUCUGUAGCGGGUCUGAGAGGAUGAUCCGCCACACUGGAACUGAGACACGGUCCAGACUCCUACGGGAGGCAGCAGUGGGGAAUUUUGGACAAUGGGCGCAAGCCUGAUCCAGCCAUGCCGCGUGAGUGAGAAGGCCUGG
rnacentral:rRNA from 1 species